GACGAACGCUGGCGGCGUGCUUAACACAUGCAAGUCGAACGAAGUGGCGAACGGGUGAGUAACGCGUAAUCAACCUGCCCUUCAGAGGGGGACAACAGUUGGAAACGACUGCUAAUACCGCAUACUGAAGGAGGGGAUUGCGUCUGAUUGGCUAGUUGUAGGGGUAACGGCCCACCAGGGCGAUGAUCAGUAGCCGGUCUGAGCGGAUGAUCCGCAACACUGGGAUGGGGACACGGCCCAGACUCCGACGGGAGGCAGCAGUGGGGAAUUUUGGACAAUGGGCGCAAGCCUGAGCCAGCCAUGCCGCGUGUCUGAAGAAGGCCUUCGGGUUGUAAAGGACUUUUGUCAGGGAAGCGGUACCUGAAGAAUAAGCACCGGCUAACUACGUGCCAGCAGCCGCGGUAAUUC
rnacentral:rRNA from 1 species